AUUGAACGCUGGCGGCAUGCCUUACACAUGCAAGUCGAACGGUAACAGGUCUUCGGAUGCUGACGAGUGGCGAACGGGUGAGUAAUACAUCGGAACGUGCCUAGUCGUGGGGGAUAACUACUCGAAAGAUGGGCUAAUACCCCAUGAGAACUACGGAUGAAAGCAGGGGAUCGCAAGACCUUGUGCUACUAGAGCGGCCGAUGGCAGAUGAGGUAGUUGGUGGGAUAAAAGCUUACCAAGCCGACGAUCGGUAGCUGGUCGGAGAGGACGAUCAGCCACACUGGGACUGAGACACGGCCCAGACUCCUACGGGAGGCAGCAGUGGGGAAUUUUGGACAAUGGGCGAAAGCCUGAUCCAGCAAUGCCGCGUGCAGGAUGAAGGCCUUCGGGUUGUAAACUGCUUUUGUACGGAACGAAAAGCCCCGGGUUAAUACCCUGGGGUCAUGACGGUACCGUAAGAAUAAGCACCGGCUAACUACGUGCCAGCCGCCGCAGUAA
rnacentral:rRNA from 1 species